rnacentral:rRNA from 1 species
GACGAACGCUGGCGGCGUGCUUAACACAUGCAAGUCGAACGGUGAAGCGCCUUCCUUUUUGGUGGGUGUGGAUGAGUGGCGAACGGGUGAGUAACACGUUAGUAACCUUCCCCCUUCUUCUGGAUAACCGCAUGAAAGUGUGGCUAAUACGGGAUAUUCUGGGUCUGUCGCAUGAUUGGUCUGGGACAGAUAUUGUUUCGGUGGGGGAUGGGCUCGCGGCCUAUCAGCUUGUUGGUGGGGUGAUGGCCUACCAAGGCGGUGACGAGUAGCCGGCCUGAGAGGGUGGACGGUCACACUAGGGAGGAGACACGGCGCAGACUCCUACGGGAGGCAGCAGUGAGGAAUAUGGAACGGUGGGCGGAAGGAUGAUGCAGCGACGCCGCGUGAGGGAUGGACGCCUGCGGGUUGUGAACCUCUUUCGCCAGUGAAGCAGGGCUGAAUUGUUUGUGGGUGGGUUGACGGUAGCUGGAUAAGAAGCGACGGCUAACUACGUG